ensembl:lncRNA
GAAACAAGGAGCUGCUUCUCACCACAAAGGGUCAGGAGACACUGGGAUGUAAACCUCUGCUUCUCCCUAUGCCUGUGUGGAGUGCUGUGUGUUACUCUGAGUAAACCUUUUGAAAAGAGCCGGCCUGUUGCCACCAUGCUGAAGUUUCUGUAACUGAGAUGCAGCUGUGAAAUGAAUGGCCAAGAUGAAGGCAUUCAAGUGCCUCAAGGGCCACUCUGAAGUAGAAGAGAAAAGUAAACCGUGAAUAACCAGGAAAAAGAGAGAAAAAAAUAACCCAGAUGGAAGAAUACAGCUUGCAAUGAGGAUGUCUCUGUGACACCAGCUGAUGGCUUUGCUUGCUUAGAAAGAGAAGAAAGAACACAAUUAGAAGAAACUACACAACUUCGUAAAGUCAAAGCCUUUCCACCCCUUGUCUUCCCCUCCAAGUCAGUAAGAUUCUGCAUUAGAAAAGCACCACCGUUCACAAACUUACCAAGGGCUAAGAUUUACAGUGUAUGUUUAUUUGUAAUUAUGUCAAUUAUAUUUAUUUAUUUUUCCACAUAUAUUGCUAAGUUUUUCUUUCUAAAGUUCAAAUCACCUUUUUAUUAGUUAAAAGUUCUCUUUACUACCUGCUACUACAGGGAUUAGAAAAAGAAAUUAAAUUUAGGAUAGCAAAUAUCAUCACAGGCAGAGGAAUAUAACCUCCCUGCAAGCUUAAUUAAACUAGAAAAGAUGGUCUGAUAGCAGAUAAUAACACUGUUAACUAGACACCAAAGGUAGGAAUAGGCCUGCAGAAAAGGGCAGACUAUCAUUAUUAAAAUCUUUAUGCAGCAUGCUGACGUCCAGAUCCUGAUAGCACAGGAAAAGGCUUCUUGGGAUCUGACAGGAUAGAAAAUAGUAGAAUAUGUUAGACAAAUGCAUGAGAUGGAG